rnacentral:rRNA from 1 species
AGCAGCCGCGGUAAUUCCAGCUCCAAUAGCGUAUAUUAAAGUUGUUGCAGUUAAAAAGCUCGUAGUUGAAUUUCGGGAUCAAAUUGUCGGUCGUGCCUCGGUACGUACUGGUAUUAUUGGUUCCUCCCUUCUGACGAACCACGAUGUCAUUAAUUUGGUGUCAUGGGAAAUCAGGACUGUUACUUUGAAAAAAUUAGAGUGUUUAAAGCAGGCUCGCGCUUGAAUACAUUAGCAUGGAAUAAUGAAAUAGGACGUUUGAUUCUAUUUUGUUGGUUUCUAGGAUCGACGUAAUGAUUAAUAGGGAUAGUUGGGGGGCAUUAGUAUUCAAUUGUCAGAGGUGAAAUUCUUGGAUUUAUUGAAGACUAACUACUGCGAAAGCAUUUUGUCAAAGGAUGUUUUCAUUAAUCAAGAACGAAAGUUAGGGGAUCGAAGACGAUCAGAUACCGUCGUAGUCUUAACCAUAAACUAUGCCGACUAGGGAUCGGAUGAUGUUAAUUUUUUAAUGACUCAUUCGGCGCCU